UACAGAGGGUGCAAGCGUUGUUCGGAAUUAUUGGGCGUAAAGAGCUCGUAGGCGGCUCGUCGCGUCGACCGUGAAAACCCGCGGCUUAACUGCGGGCUUGCGGUUGAUACGGGCGGGCUAGAGUUCGGUAGGGGAGACUGGAAUUCCUGGUGUAGCGGUGAAAUGCGCAGAUAUCAGGAGGAACACCGGUGGCGAAGGCGGGUCUCUGGGCCGAUACCGACGCUGAGGAGCGAAAGCGUGGGGAGCGAACAGG
rnacentral:rRNA from 1 species